rnacentral:rRNA from 1 species
UGGUGGAGUGAUUUGUCUGGUUAAUUCCGUUAACGAACGAGACCUCGACCUGCUAAAUAGUUCGACCAAGGAUUCGUCCUUGGGUACGUGACUUCUUAGAGGGACUAUCGGUGUGUAGCCGACGGAAGUUCGAGGCAAUAACA